rnacentral:misc_RNA from 1 species
GAUGAAGAACGCAGCGAAAUGCGAUACGUAAUGUGAAUUGCAGAAUUCAGUGAAUCAUCGAAUCUUUGAACGCAUAUUGCGCUCUCUGGUAUUCCGGAGAGCGUGCUUGUUUGAGUAUCAGUAAACACCUCAACUUCCAUAUCUUUUUUGAAAUGGGAGUUGGACUUGAGUGAUCCCAACGCUUUUCCUCACCGAAAAGUGGCGGGUUACUUGAAAUGCAGGUGCAGCUGGACUUUUCUCUGAGCUAUAAGCAUAUCUAUUUAGUCUGCCUAAAAAACAGAUUAUUACCUUUGCUGCAGCUAACAUAAAGGAGAUUAGUUCUUGUGCUGACUGAUGCAGGAUUCACAAAGACAGGCUUCGGCCGACUUUGUAAACUCGAUCUCAAAUCAAGUAAGACUACCCGCUGAACUUAAGCAUAUCAAUAAGCGGAGGA